CUUCAGUGAUGAUACGAUGACGAGUCGGAAUGGGAUUGUGCUCUACUUUUAGGAGUCCAGUUUCAGAGUCAUGUUCUGUGCCUCUGCUCUUGGACCCUUUAAUUAGAGGGUCCCUUUCAUUUGAAGACAUUGAGGCAUUUGUCUGAGAAGG